GGUUGGAUGGCCGAGUGGUCUAAGGCGCCAGAUUCAGGACCAGCAUCUCUUAGAUGCACGUACAUACUUUCUGGUCUUCACAGGCGUGGGUUCGAAUCCCACUCCAAUCA